UACGUAGGGGCCUAGCGUUGUCCGGAAUUAUUGGGCGUAAAGAGCUCGUAGGCGGUUCGGCAAGUCGGAUGUGAAAUCUCCACGCUUAACGUGGAGGGGCCAUUCGAAACUGCUGUGACUCGAGUCCGGUAGGGGAGUGUGGAAUUCCCGGUGUAGCGGUGAAAUGCGCAGAUAUCGGGAGGAACACCGGUGGCGAAGGCGGUUCUCUGGGCCUUACCUGACGCUGAGGAGCGAAAGCGUGGGGAGCAAACGGG
rnacentral:rRNA from 1 species